rnacentral:rRNA from 1 species
GACGAACGCUGGCGGCGUGCUUAACACAUGCGAGUCGAACGGAAAGGCCCUGCUUGCAGGGUACUCGAGUGGCGAACGGGUGAGUAACACGUGGGUGAUCUGCCCUGCACUUCGGGAUAAGCCUGGGAAACUGGGUCUAAUACCGGAUAGGAGCCAUUUUUAGUGUGAUGGUUGGAAAGUUUUUUCGGUGUAGGAUGAGCUCGCGGCCUAUCAGCUUGUUGGUGGGGUAAUGGCCUACCAAGGCGGCGACGGGUAGCCGGCCUGAGAGGGUGGACGGCCACAUUGGGACUGAGACACGGCCCAGACUCCUACGGGAGGCAGCAGUGGGGAAUAUUGCACAAUGGGCGCAAGCCUGAUGCAGCGACGCCGCGUGGGGGAUGACGGCCUUCGGGUUGUAAACUCCUUUCGCUAGGGACGAAGCUUUUUGUGACGGUACCUAGAUAAGAAGCACCGGCUAACUACGUG